AAGUCGUAACAAGGUCUCCGUUGGUGAACCAGCGGAGGGAUCAUUAAAGAGUUGCAAAACUCCCAACCAUUGCUAAACAACCACUGUUUCUUCGGCGGGUGGCCGCAUGGCCGCGCGCACCCCUCUCGGGGGGACGCACCCCGCCGGAGCACACCAAACUCUUGUCAUUAUUGAUGCUCUGAGUAAAAAACAAAAUUAUUACAACUUUCAACAAUGGAUCUCUUGGCUCUG
rnacentral:misc_RNA from 1 species